UACAGAGGGUGCGAGCGUUAAUCGGAAUUACUGGGCGUAAAGCGCACGUAGGUGGCGACGUAAGUCGGGUGUGAAAGCCCCGGGCUCAACCUGGGAAUUGCAUUCGAGACUGCAUUGCUGGAGUACGGAAGAGGAAGGCGGAAUUCCGGGUGUAGCGGUGGAAUGCGUAGAGAUCCGGAAGAACACCGGUGGCGAAGGCGGCCUGCUGGGCAGUGGCUGACACUGAGGCGCGACAGCGUGGGGAGCAAACAGG
rnacentral:rRNA from 1 species